GCCUGAGUGGCUCAGUGGUUGAGCGUCUGCCUUUGGCUCAGGUCGUGAUCCCAUGGUCUUGGGAUUGAGUCCCAGCAUCAGGCU
rnacentral:tRNA from 1 species